rnacentral:lncRNA from 1 species
UAUAAAAGUAUUUUAAUAAUAAAUUUAAUUGAUAUUUUUAUAUUUUUUAUAUAGUUUUAUAAGUUUAAUUAUUAAUUAAAUGAUAUUUUCAAAUUCCAAAUAAUUUAAUAUUUCUCUCUAUUCAAAUAAAAAUGAUUAAAAUUGGCAUAUGUGCAACGUACGUAAAAUUAUAUAAUAGCUUAUUAGUAAUUAAAUUAUUUUUUAAAAAUCUAUGUUGAAAAGAUUUGGAAUAAAUCUAUUAAAAUAAUUUAAAUAAAUUAAUAAGUAAAAGAGAAAUCAAAAUAGUAGAAGAAAUUAUUUAAAUAAAAUUAAUUAAUUAUAUACGCACACAUACUAUAUUUCUAAAAUCUUAUUUCAUAAAUUUAAAUUCUCUAUUUUUUUUAUACAUCGACAUUUUACGUGAUUUAGAUUGUAUAUAUCGGAUUAAAUUUUAUUACGCAAUUUAUUACAUAUAUUAUUAAUAAAAUUAGUUAGUUAUAUUAUAUAUACAAUUAAUUAAUUAAUUUUAGGGUUGAUUUCAUACAAAUCCCGUACAAACAUAGUUAAUUACAAAUAUAUCCUUACAAAGUUCAACUACAUAAGUUGUCUCUAUAAAAAUCUUAAUAUUUUCAAAUAUGUUCAUGCCGUUAGAAUCCGUUAGAAAAUUUUAAUUAAUCAUAAGUUAAAUGCUUAAUUGUUUAAUUUAUCAGAUAACUUGAUAUUUUGCCCCUAUUAUAUUGUACUGUUGUGGUUUUUGGAGAGAUAUAUUUGUGAGGGCAAAAUUGAUAUCUCGCUUAAAAUAUAAAUAGUUUUGUAACGGUAAUAAAUCAAAAGAACAUAUAUAAAAAUAUUUAAACUUUUGUAGGAAUAUAUUUAUAAUUUAUUAUGUUUGCAGGAACGUGAAUGCAUUUAACUCUUAAUUUUAUAGGGUUCAGAAGUUUAGGGAUUUAAAAUUUAAAAAUAAAUAUUAUAAAAUUUUAAAUUUUAGAAUUUAGAAUUUAAAAUUUUAAAACAUAUAUAUGUAUUAUAUUAUAUAUAGAGAGGGAGAGAGAGAAGUGGAGGUUUUGGAAAAACACGUGUCACUCUUUUAAGUAGUAGAAAGAAUAAAUUAUAUAUAUAUAGAGGGAGAGAGAGAAGUGAAUGUUUUGGAAGAACAUGUCACUCUAAGAUUCCCAAACCUUUUACUUAAUAUAGUAAAAUGAAAAGAUAGAUUUGACAAAUUCCACAUCGAGCGAUGGGGAGGACCCAAGGGUUGAGAAACACAAAAGUGUAGAAAGAUUUAAGAAGUUGACCGCGGAACAGAAGAGUUGAAGGAGAUGUAGGAAAGGGCCUUUGAUGGAUUUAACACAUAGUGCUCGUGACCGAUUGUUCCUAGAGCAAAUGGCAAAGAGCUUGAUGGUUGGUAUCCGAAACCUAAGUUCGCAUCCUAAUAGAUUCACAUUUUAAGCUAAGUGUAUUUCUAAAUAAAAUAAACGAAACGGGUAGCGUAUUACUUAUCUCUCUCAAAAAAAGAAGAAGAAGAAGAAGACAUAUAGUGCUGGUGCACCUUAGUUUGUAUUCUAACUCAUUCAGAAUAAAAUAAUAAAUAAACAUAAAAGAUAAUAAAAUUGUGAAUAAAAAUAAAAAUUAACGCAUCAUGAGUCUUGAAAUUUUAGUGUCGACAACCACCACCUUUCUCACGUGAAAUUUUAGCAAACUCCAUAUUUAUGCAUUUUAUACCCAUAUUUAUGCAUUUUAUAUGGAUACAAAGGGAAACGAGAUGGAAGGAAUGAAUAUCAUUUUUGACGGAAUUUACGACAGGUUUGCAUCCGUAUUUUAACGCUACACGCCUACCACCCCCUCUCUCGGCCGACAAACAUGGGCAGCGAUGUCUGACAUCUGGAAUCUGUUACAACGGGCUGAUAGUCAGUCUGCUUUGAUUGGGCCUCCAUGUAGCCCUGUUAAGAAAGACUCCGUCGCAGCUCUAUUUGUCGGGCCUGAGAUUCUUUACUUGUUGGACAGCGCUAACGCAGCCCACUCGGCACUCAGCACUAGGGGUGGAAACGAGCCGAGCUCGAGCGAGCUUAUGUCUGCUCAAAUUCAGCUUGAAAUUAAUUUCGAGCCUAAAUCUAGGCUCAAGCUCGGCUUGAAAUUAAUUCGAGCCGAGCUCGAGCGAGCCUAAUUUCGAGUCGAGCUGAGCUCGAGCUCUAAACGAGCCGAUUGAAAUUCUCGACAUUAUAUAAUCAAUAUUUUAAUUUUUAUAGAACAUUACCUACAAUUUGAUGCAACAUGUCCAAUAGUUCAAAAUACAAAAUAAUUAUAAGAAAUGUGAGCUAGGGUGACUUCCUGACUCGAUAAGGGUCUGAGAGAGAGAGAGAGAGAGAGAGAGGAAAAAAAGUAGGGAUUUGAAAAUUUGAAUGUUAUUAUGUUUUAGGGUUAUGUGCAACAGUGAAAGUCUGAAAGAGAGAGUGUGUUAUGUAAAUUUAGAGUUGGGCUCAAUUGCACGUUUGUACUUGUUGGGUUUAUUUUAUGGGCCAACAAUAAUGGCCCAAAUUAAAUUAAAGCCUAUAUAUAAUU